UGGGUCAUAUGCUCGUUGGAUGGGCGGCGGACUCUAAACCCGCUAGAAGCGAGUUCGAUUCUCGCAUGACCCAU
rnacentral:tRNA from 1 species